rnacentral:rRNA from 1 species
UACGUAGGGUGCGAGCGUUGUCCGGAAUUAUUGGGCGUAAAGAGCUUGUAGGCGGUUUGUCGCGUCUGCUGUGAAAAUCCGGGGCUCAACUCCGGACUUGCAGUGGGUACGGGCAGGCUAGAGUGCGGUAGGGGAGACUGGAAUUCCUGGUGUAGCGGUGAAAUGCGCAGAUAUCAGGAGGAACACCGGUGGCGAAGGCGGGUCUCUGGGCCGUAACUGACGCUGAGGAGCGAAAGCAUGGGGAGCGAACAGG